rnacentral:lncRNA from 1 species
GUAGGGAACAGAACUGUCUUUCGCAAUACAGUCAGAAGAUGUCGAGAAAGACAGGCACUUGGGUCAGGGAUGUGCUUCUGAUACUGGAUGUAGUUGGCAGUUUGGGUGCUAGACAGUUUGGCAGAGCCCGAGGGAGAGAAGUGGCUCAGCCAAGGUGCCUGUUAUUCCUAAGAAAACCUGUAGAAGAGUUGCUGGGAAGCAGUCUCUAUACUCCGCAGAUGAUACCCACAGUUAUAUGAAGGAGAGGGGCCAUCACCGCUUCCUUUACCAACGCAGAUGGUCUGUACUUCGACUUGGGGAUCCGGGGAGACGAACUUCACCGUCCUCCCCUAGAAAAGUAGAAGCGGGUACUAGGUCUUUAUAUAAGGACAGGUUGGGCAGAAUAGAAUAAAUGUUUUCUUCGCUUUACCAUGAUGUUUAAUCAGAACACAGCUAUAGGCAACAAAUGCUGUCUUCUGCUAGACAGAGAGCACAACACCCCGUUGGUGUUUAAAAUAAAGAGAAACAAAUAAUUGUCCCAUUGUUAAUAGUCCCAAGCCAGAGAAUUGAGGGCAUACUCUGGCUAAAGGUAUUGUGAGCAUUGUGGUGGCAAACAAAUAGUUGUGAGCCACUUCCACCCCCAAAGGCAUAAAGCUUCAGCAACGUAAGUGACAUAUUCCCAGGGAGUUUCCCUUUUCCUUCAUGCCUGAUUCAAUUCUUGUCUAGUGUCUUUGGCUCUUCAUUAGUGACCCAUCCUCUACCAAGCACCCUGUUCAGCCUCCCUGAAGCCACUGUGUGCACAAAUCCAAAAAGUUUCAAAGGAAGCUUUUAACAAGAUGCAGCUGAGCGUGUCGAUAUCUUACAUCUUCUUACUGUUGUGUGAGCAGUUCAGCUAUUUGAAGCUUCUCGCUCUUCAGACAAGCACUGGCACCUUCCAGAGACAGUGUUCCCAGGCUUGAUUUACACUUGAUUUACAACUAUCCUCUGGUGUGCUCUGGAAAAACAUGGGACAUUGCAAGUGAAGGAAGAAUGGGUGAUGAAUGAAGUCCCUUCCUCCUCCUACCCCCCAAAAGCACACAGUAUGAGCUCACUGUGAUAGCUUCGUGUAAUGUGUACAUGUUUUUGUUACUGAUAUUGUGAUGCAAACAGGAUUGAGACUGGACUAAGGCUCUUAGGAUGAUUGCACCAAGUCUUAGGAUUUAAGGCAGUUUAUCUCCCGACCUAUC